CCGUGUAUCACAUGGUAAGCCAUACUCCUAAGCGACAGGCCGUGGGUUCGAAUCCCGCCGGGAUCACCA
rnacentral:tRNA from 1 species